GACGAACGCUGGCGGCGUGCCUAAUACAUGCAAGUCGAACGCAGUGGGGAAGGGUGAGUAACACGUCGGUAACCUCCCAUCAGCGGGGAUAACACUUGGAAACAGCUCCUAAACUGAUACGGAUGGUUUGUCCGGUGGUGCAUAAGCUAGUUGGUGAGGAAACGGCUCACCAAGGCCCCGAUGCAUAGCGGACCUGAGAGGUGGACAGGCCACACGGGGACUGGGACCGGGCCAAGCCUCCUCGGGGAGGCAGCAGUAGGGAAUUUUCGGAAAGGGACGAAAGUCUGACCGGGCAAGGCCGCGUGAGUGAAGAAGGUUUUCGGAUCGUAAAACUCUGUUGUUGGGGAAGCGGUAUCUAACCAGAAAGCCACGGCUAACUACGUGCCAGCAGCCGCGGUAAUAC
rnacentral:rRNA from 1 species